UUCCUGCAUGGAUUAAUGUUGGAGGGCGAAUACUUAGGCACCUAGUGGAAAGAUAGAAUAUCAGCUUCUUUUUAUCUAUUGAGAUUUGAUAUCUCAAGAUUUGGUCCACACUGAGCCCACAGCGAGGUCUAGGAUGACGAAUGGAGUCCAACGAGCCCAAGAACAGCCCAAAUGGAGUCCAGAUGGUAAAGAUACGUAUGAAAGAAGCUCGGAGUAGGUGGCAGGUGCACAAGGCGGUGGAGGCCGACAGUGGUG
rnacentral:lncRNA from 1 species